rnacentral:rRNA from 1 species
UACGUAGGGUGCAGGCGUUAAUCGGAAUUACUGGGCGUAAAGCGUGCGCAGGCGGUCUUUUAAGUCAGAUGUGAAAUCCCCGGGCUUAACCUGGGAACUGCGUUUGAAACUGGAAGGCUUGAGUGUGGCAGAGGGGGAUGGAAUUCCGCGUGUAGCAGUGAAAUGCGUAGAUAUGCGGAGGAACACCGAUGGCGAAGGCAAUCCCCUGGGCCUGCACUGACGCUCAUGCACGAAAGCGUGGGGAGCAAACAGG